AGGAGUGUUUGCCACACAACCCAUUGAACCCGGGGACUUCGUGUUGGAGUACAGGGGUAAACUCCUCACACAGGAGGAAUGCAAGUCAAGAAAAUACUCAGAGAUUGAAAGCACAUUUCUCUUUGACUUUCAGUGGCAGAAUCAUCACUUAUGCCUGGAUGCAUCUGAAGAAGAUUUAUCUCUCGGAAGAUUGGUCAAUGACAACCACCAAAAUCCAAAUUGCGUUAUGAAAAAAAUCAUAGUUGACAACAAACCACAUUUGUGCCUUUUUUCUCUGAAGAAAAUAGAAAUAGGAGAUGAAAUUGAUUACAACUAUGGUGAUUCAAAAUGGCCUUGGCGCUGUAAGGUGA